UACAGAGGUCCCAAGCGUUGUUCGGAUUCACUGGGCGUAAAGGGUGCGUAGGUGGUGAGGUAAGUCGGAUGUGAAAUCUCCGAGCUCAACUCGGAAACUGCAUUGGAAACUACCUUGCUCGAGGGUUGGAGGGGGGACUGGAAUUCCUGGUGUAGCGGUGAAAUGCGCAGAUAUCAGGAGGAACACCGGUGCGAAGGCGGGUCUCUGGGCCGUAACUGACGCUGAGGAGCGAAAGCGUGGGAGCGAACGG
rnacentral:rRNA from 1 species